GCACUUUUGCCAUGAGAAUGUCUCACUGACCUCUCAAGUCGCAAAUGCCUUCGGUCAGUAUGGGGAUGCCCAAUAUAUCCCGUCCACAAAAUUCUAGAAUCUCGUAGUGAGGCAACCAGCUACCUAAGUCAUCGCCUCUUUAUUUGUCAUGUGAUGUCACAAAGGUGGCUCACAGCUGAUCUGGCAAGGCAGCACUGGCCAAGUGUGGGGUAGGGGAUGGGCACAGGGCCCCCAGCUUCUCUCUUUUCCAAAAGUAUAUGCAAACAUCUGGUUUGAGUUCCCAGGAAGGGCUCCUGUCUGCAGCCAGGAAGGAACAUUGUUUCAUGGGACCAGGCCCUGGAUGGGAAGAGAAACCAUGAUCCGAGGUCCACUCCCACUCCAGGGAUGGGGGAGACAAGUUGCUGGUCUCUCAGAUUUGGUCAAGAGCCAGGCCCUGGUCAAGUUGUCAUCAGAGUUGGGAGUCAGUUGGUGGACCCCCUUUUGUUCCUACCACCCACCCCACGCUUCCUGCUUUGGUGUUUUCGAACUGUUCCUGCUGGUUGGUUGGUCCUGCUCAGAAAGUCUCCAACUGUGAGUCCUAUUUUCAUUCCCCUAGGUCAACCUGAUCUCAGAGUAGGAUUUCAGAUGGUAGCCUCCUUUCUAUUCCUACCACUCCCCCCACCACACACACACACAACACACACACACACACACAACACACACACACACACACUUCCUGCUUUGGUCUCUUCCAACUGUUCCUGCUGGUUAGUUGGUCCUGCUCAGAUAGUCCCCAACAAUGACUCCUAUUUUCUUGCCCACAGGUAAAGUGGCCCUCAGAGUAGGGUUUCAGUUGGUAGCCCCCUUUUAUUCCUGCUGCCUUUGCCCCACACUUCCUGCUUUGGUCUCUUCCAACUGUUCCUGCUGGUUACUUGGUCCUGCUCAGAUAGGCCCCAACAAAGAGUCCUAUUUUCUUUCCCCCAGGUCAAGUUGUCCUCAGAGUAGGGUCUCAGUUGGUGCCCCCCCUUUUAUUCCUGCUGCCUUUGCCCCACACUUCCUGCUUUGGUCUCUUCCAACUGUUCCUGCUGGUUAGUUGGUCCUGCUCAGAUAGGCCCCAACAAACAGUCCUAUUUUCUUUUCCCAGAUCAAUUUCUCCUCAGAGUAGGGUUUCAGUUGGUAGCCCCCUUUUAUUCCUGCUGCCUUUGCCCCACACUUCCUGCUUUGGUCUCUUCCACCUGUUCCUGCUGGUUAGUUGGUCCUGCUCAGAUAGGCCCCAACUACGAGUCCUAUUUUUAUUCCACUAGGUCAAGUUGACCUCAGAGUAGGGUCUCAGUUGGUAGCCCCCCCUUUUAUUCCUGCCUCCCCACAUUCUGCUUUGGUCUCUUCCAACUGUUCCUGAUGGUUAGUUGGUCCUGCUCAGAUAGGCCCCAACAAAGAGUCCUCUUUUCUUUCUCCCAGGUCAAGUUGUCCUCAGAGUAGGGUUUCAGUUUGAGGCCCCCCCCUUCAUUCCCUCUCCCGCACUUCCCAAUUUGUGUCUUCCAACUAUUCCUGCUUGUUACUUGGUCCUGCUCAGAUAGGGCCCAACAAAGAGUCCUAUUUUCUUUCCCCCAGGUCAAGUGGUCAUCAGAGUAGGGAGUCGGUUGGUGCCCCCCCUUUUAUUCCUAUUGCCCACCCCACACUUCCUGCUUCAGUCUUUUCAACCUGUUCCUGCUGGUUAAUUGGUCCUGCUCAGAAAGUCUCCAACUGUGAGUCCUAUUUUCAUUCCCCUAGGUCAACCUGAUCUCAGAGUAGGAUUUCAGAUGGUAGCCUCCUUUCUAUUCCUACCACU
rnacentral:lncRNA from 1 species